CGUAACAAGGUCUCCGUAGGUGAACCUGCGGAGGGAUCAUUACACAACAAAAUAUGAAGGUCUGGCUUCGCGGCCGGCUGAAAUAUUUUUUUCACCCAUGUCUUUUGCGCACUUGUUGUUUCCUGGGCGGGUUCGCCCGCCACCAGGACCAAACCAUAAACCUUUUUUUUAUGCAGUUGCAAUCAGCGUCAGUAAAAACAAUGUAAUUAAUUACAACUUUCAACAACGGAUCUCUUGGUUCUGGCAUCGAUGAAGAACGCAGCGAAAUGCGAUACGUAGUGUGAAUUGCAGAAUUCAGUGAAUCAUCGAAUCUUUGAACGCACAUUGCGCCCUUUGGUAUUCCAAAGGGCAUGCCUGUUCGAGCGUCAUUUGUACCUUCAAGCUUUGCUUGGUGUUGGGCGUUUUUGUCUCCCUCUUUCUGGGAGACUCGCCUUAAAACGAUUGGCAGCCGGCCUACUGGUUUCGGAGCGCAGCACAUAAUUUGCGCUUUGUAUCAGGAGAAAAGGACGGUAAUCCAUCAAGACUCUACAUUUUUAACUUUUGACCUCGGAUCAGGUAGGGAUACCCGCUGAAACUUAAGCAUAUCA
rnacentral:rRNA from 1 species